rnacentral:rRNA from 2 species
UACGAAGGGGGCUAGCGUUGUUCGGAAUGACUGGGCGUAAAGGGCGCGUAGGCGGCGCAUCAAGUCGGGCUGUGAAAGCCCCGGGCUCAACCCGGGAAUUGCGCUCGAGACUGGUGUGCUGGAGUGCGGGAGAGGAUGGUGGAAUUCCCAGUGUAGAGGUGAAAUUCGUAGAUAUUGGGAAGAACACCGGUGGCGAAGGCGACCAUCUGGACCGCAACUGACGCUGAGGCGCGAAAGCGUGGGGAGCAAACAGG